rnacentral:rRNA from 1 species
AUUGAUAUACCGGUUCCCGUACGAUCACCGAAGUUAAGCAACGUCGAGUCUGGUCAGUACCAACAUGGGUGACCGUUUGGGAAUACCAGGGGUUGUAAG